UACGUAGGGACCGAGCGUUGUCCGGAUUCAUUGGGCGUAAAGCGCGCGUAGGCGGCCCUGUAAGUCCGUUGUGAAAGUCAAAGGCUCAACCUUUGAAAGCCGAUGGAUACUGCAGGGCUAGAGUCCGGAAGAGGCGAGUGGAAUUCCUGGUGUAGCGGUGGAAUGCGCAGAUAUCAGGAGGAACACCAAUAGCGAAGGCAGCUCGCUGGGACGGUACUGACGCUAAGGCGCGAAAGCGUGGGGAGCGAACAGG
rnacentral:rRNA from 1 species